AUCAAUUUUGUAUUUUUUUUUCAGAAGUGUCCUGAAGUGUUCCUCAGAAAAAAAUGUGCAUAGGCAACGAGUUUCUUGAUAAAAAGUUUCUUCAUCAAAACUACACAGAGGACUUAUGCUUCCAGAUUUCCAUUAGACAUUAGGGAUUUCUUUGAAGAACAGAAAGCAAACAUCACUUGUAAAGUGAGGAGCAAGCUAGAGGAAGGAGAGGGAAGAAAAAUGAUCGUUUCCAUACUGAACUGUCCUGGGAAACAAGGUGAAGAUCACUUCUUUCCAUGAAAAGCUUUGCAGCAACAGGUAAGCUCCCCUCAAAGGCAGAGCAGUCUUUAUUUGACU
rnacentral:lncRNA from 1 species